rnacentral:snRNA from 1 species
AGCUUUGCACAGUGGCAGUAUCGUAGCCAAUGAGGUUUAUCCAAGGCGUGAUUAUUGCUAAUUGAAAACUUUUCCCAAAAAGUGGACCAAAGAACAAAACAGACAUUUCUACAAAGAA